rnacentral:rRNA from 1 species
UACGUAGGCAGCAAGCGUUGUUCGGAAUUACUGGGCGUAAAGAGUGUGUAGGCGGUGCUCCAAGUCUGGUGUGAAAUCUCCCGGCUUAACUGGGAGGGUGCAUUAGAAACUGGAAUGCUAGAGGAUGGGAGAGGUAAGCGGAAUUCCGGGUGUAGCGGUGGAAUGCGUAGAGAUCCGGAAGAACACCGGUGGCGAAGGCGGCCUGCUGGGCUACUGCUGACACUGAGGCGCGACAGCGUGGGGAGCAAACAGG